rnacentral:rRNA from 1 species
UACGAAGGGGGCUAGCGUUGCUCGGAAUCACUGGGCGUAAAGGGUGCGUAGGCGGGUCUUUAAGUCAGGGGUGAAAUCCUGGAGCUCAACUCCAGAACUGCCUUUGAUACUGAGGAUCUUGAGUUCGGGAGAGGUGAGUGGAACUGCGAGUGUAGAGGUGAAAUUCGUAGAUAUUCGCAAGAACACCGGUGGCGAAGGCGGCAUCCUGGACCAAUUCUGACGCUGAGGAGCGAAAGCCAGGGGAGCAAACGGG